rnacentral:rRNA from 1 species
GACGAACGCUGGCGGCGUGCUUAACACAUGCAAGUCGAACGGAAAGGCCUCUUUCGGGGGGUACUCGAGUGGCGAACGGGUGAGUAACACGUGAGUAACCUGCCCUUGACUUUGGGAUAACUUCAGGAAACUGGGGCUAAUACCGGAUAGGAGCUCCUGCUGCAUGGUGGGGGGUGGAAAGUUUCGGCGGUUGGGGAGGGACUCGCGGCUUAUCAGCUUGUUGGUGGGGGAGUGGCUUACCAAGGCUUUGACGGGUAGCCGGCCUGAGAGGGUGACCGGCCCCAUUGGGACUGAGAUACGGCCCAGACUCCUACGGGAGGCAGCCGUGGGGAAUAUUGCACAAUGGGUGGAAGCCUGAUGCAGCAACGCCGUGUGCGGGAUGACGGCCUUCGGGUUGUAAACCGCUUUCGCUCAUGACGAAGCUUUGUGUGACGGUAGUGGGUAAAGAAGCACCGGCUAACUACGUG